rnacentral:tRNA from 1 species
AGAUAAUUAGUAUACGGUAUAUCUGAUUUCCAAUUAGAAGGAGGAAAAAUUUUUAUUAUUA